rnacentral:piRNA from 1 species
UUAAGGGAGAAGGAGAGGAUCCGGUC